AAUUCGAUGCAACGCGAAAAACCUUACCCACCUUUGACAUGUACGGAAUCCUUUAGAGAUAGAGGAGUGCUCGAAAGAGAGCCGUAACACAGGUGCUGCAUGGCUGUCGUCAGCUCGUGUCGUGAGAUGUUGGGUUAAGUCCCGCAACGAGCGCAACCCUUGCCAUUAGUUGCUACGAAAGGGCACUCUAAUGGGACUGCCGGUGACAAACCGGAGGAAGGUGGGGAUGACGUCAAGUCCUCAUGGCCCUUAUAGGUGGGGCUACACACGUCAUACAAUGGCUGGUACAAAGGGUUGCCAACCCGCGAGGGGGAGCUAAUCCCAUAAAGCCAGUCGUAGUCCGGAUCGCAGUCUGCAACUCGACUGCGUGAAGUCGGAAUCGCUAGUAAUCGUGGAUCAGAAUGUCACGGUGAAUACGUUCCCGGGUCUUGUACACACCGCCCGUCACACCAUGGGAGCGGGUCUCGCCAGAAGUAGGUAGCCUAACCGCAAGGAGGGCGCUUACCACGGCGGGGUUCGUGACUGGGGUGAAGUCGUAACAAGGUAGCCGUAUCGGAAGGUGCGGCUGGA
rnacentral:rRNA from 1 species